rnacentral:lncRNA from 1 species
ACAGACGCCGAACGGACAGAGUUUUCCCUAUCCGCCCAAGGCUCAUCACAUGUACAUUUUCAAUAAGAAGUGCACUAGCGGAAACAUACAAAAACGGCUUACACGAGGGUAAGCAAUAGCCAUUAGUGAAAGAAAGGAAAACUAAACAUCUACACAAGUAAUAUGAUUCAUUUUAGAUCAUAUACAUUGCAUUCAUUUCUUACA